AUGUUGUAUGGAAAGAGAGGAGCUCAGCACUCCAUUUGAUAAGUAUGAAAGGGGUCCUAAUGACCUUUACAACACAUACAUGGUGAUAUGAUGAACACCUAUUCUGUGGCAUCUUAAAUACUUGUUUUU
rnacentral:ncRNA from 1 species